rnacentral:rRNA from 1 species
GACAGAGGUGCCGAGCGUUAGGCGGAAUCACUGGGCUUAAAGCGUGUGUAGGCGGAUCGUUAAGUACCUUGUGAAAUCCCACGGCUUAACCGUGGAACUGCUGGGUAUACUGGCGAUCUUGAGCCACCUAGGGGCAACCGGAACAAAUGGUGGAGCGGUGAAAUGCGUAGAUAUCAUUUGGAACGCCAAUGGUGAAAACAGGUUGCUGGGGGUGUGCUGACGCUGAGACACAAAAGCCAGGGGAGCGAACGGG